rnacentral:rRNA from 1 species
UACAGAGGUCCCGAGCGUUGUUCGGAUUCACUGGGCGUAAAGGGUGCGUAGGUGGCCUGAAAAGUUUGAUGUGAAAGCUCAGGGCUUAACCCUGAAAUGGCAUUGAAUACUGUCGGGCUGGAGGUUUGGAGGGGGGACUGGAAUUCUUGGUGUAGCAGUGAAAUGCGUAGAUAUCAAGAGGAACGCCAGUGGCGAAGGCGAGUCCCUGGACAACACCUGACACUGAGGCACGAAAGCUAGGGGAGCAAACAGG